UUCUCUUGCGUUUGGAAAUCCAAGGUUCCUCCUAAGAUUAAGAUUUUUCUCUGGCAAGCCUUCCGUGGUCGCCUCCCGACUGCUGAUCAGAUCAAAAAACGCAAUGGGCCGGGCUCGGAAUUCUGUAAUUUGUGUGGGGCCUUGGAAAACUCUGAUCACAUCUUUUUCAAUUGCGUUCUGGCCAAAUUAGUUUGGUGCUGCGUCAGAUCUUGGCUUCAGGUUCCCUGGAAUCCCUCCUCUUUCUCUGAGAUUCGAACCCUAGCCAAAGCCUUGGUCGGGGUCACCAAGAGGGUAUUUUGGGUUGGCCUGGGAGCUUUAUGUUGGGCUCUCUGGACCAUUAGAAACAAAUUUACUAUUGAACUUACCUUCCCAUCUAAGCCUACUGAUGUUCUUUUCAAAUCAUGUAUAUUCUUGCAGCAGGGGAGAUCAUUGACUAAGGAGACUGAUCGGGAUGCCCUGGACCUGCUCAUCGACAAAAUUCGGGCUUCGGCUUCUCAGAUCUCCGGGAGGAACCCUGUUGUCUAA
rnacentral:rRNA from 1 species